CCCACUGUAGCUCAGUUGGUAGAGCGUGGCGCAUGCAACACCAGGGUUGUGGGUUCGAUUCCCACGGGGGGC
rfam:Salmo salar isolate Sally breed double haploid chromosome ssa02, whole genome shotgun sequence.